rnacentral:rRNA from 1 species
CCGGACGCACGGGUGGCGUAACGACGUAUGCAACCUACCAUCAACAGGGGGAUAACACUGAGAAAUUGGUACUAAUACCCCAUAAUAUCUCAUGCGGCAUCGCAUGGGGUUGAAAACUCCGGUGGUUGAUGAUGGGCAUGCGUUGUAUUAGCUGGUUGGUGAGGUAACGGCUCACCAAGGCGACGAUACAUAGGGGGACUGAGAGGUUAACCCCCCACAUUGGUACUGAGACACGGACCAAACUCCUACGGAAGGCAGCAG